AUUGAACGCUGGCGGAAUGCUUUACACAUGCAAGUCGAACGGCAGCACGGACUUCGGUCUGGUGGCGAGUGGCGAACGGGUGAGUAAUGUAUCGGAACGUGCCCAGUCGUGGGGGAUAACGUAGUGAAAAUUACGCAAAUACCGCAUACGAUCGAGGGAUGAAAGUGGGGGAUCGCAAGACCUCGCUCGAUUGGAGGGGCCGAUAUCAGAUUAGGUAGUUGGUGGGGUAAAGGCCCACCAAGCCAACGAUCUGUAGCUGGUCUGAGAGGACGACCAGCCACACUGGAACUGAGACACGGUCCAGACUCCUACGGGAGGCAGCAGUGGGGAAUUUUGGACAAUGGGCGAAAGCCUGAUCCAGCCAUUCCGCGUGCAGGAUGAAGGCCCUCGGGUUGUAAACUGCUUUUGUACAGAACGAAAAGGUUUCUACUAAUACUAGGAGCUCAUGACGGUACUGUAAGAAUAAGCACCGGCUAACUACGUGCCAGCCGCCGCGGUAA
rnacentral:rRNA from 1 species